CAUGGCCACCUAAGCAGACUUGAUUGGAGGUGGAAUCUUAAAAAAAGGAAGGAAAUCCUGUAUAUGUGACACCAUGGACGAAAUUGGAGGACAUUAUGCUAACUGAAAAAGGCCAGUCACAGAAAGACAACUACUGUAUGCUUCUGCUUAUAUGAGGUAAAGUGAGGAGUUGGGAAAGAAAGGAAAACAUAAGAUGAGAUCUCUCUAUGAACAAGUGACGGUUUGAAGUGGGUCACCUCAUUGCCAUCGCAUAAGCACCUUAUUGCACCAACCCAAGGAAUCACUUGCAAGUGAACAGUGAAGGUUCAAUAAGGAUGGAAAAGAGUACUGAUAGCAAUUUGGAAGCAAAUGUAAGGAGUGCAUACUUUUCUUUAAAAGGUUAUUUCGUGCUUCCUCUCUUCCACACGAUCAAGAUCUUCAAAGUAAGCAUCUUUCAAAGGAGCGACAAGCAAAAUACAGCUGCAGGAUCAGUAACUCCCUGUUAAGCAGCUUUGCCUGCUGUCACUAUUGACUGCUGGAGGUGGUGAUCCAUGUCAGUCACUAAAACGACACCUUGGCAAGACUGCAAUCUGCUCCCAGGGUUUUUGUGUAUGGGAACACUUAGAUAAUGAGAUUUUCAUAUAUUCCCAGCAGCUCACACAGUGCCUGGAAAAGAGUCCCCCAGAGCCUCAGAAAACUGAGGGCAGCCUGUGUCAAGGGAACUCAGUGAUGGUGAUUCAUGGUUCCUGACUCCUUCCUAAACUGCUUUCUGGAUUCUCUUUGUCCACAGUCUUUCCUAGGUGAGCAACUCGAAAGAGGUCAGAAAGGGGAAGGAAUCCUGAUGAUACUUGGCAUCAUACUGUAAUACAUGGUAGAAUGGAUUCUUUUUAAAUGUCCAGUAAGUGAAUUGGGAAGAAUUGGAGGGUAGUGGACUGACAUACCAAAGUACAUAUCUAGCAAAAUUAAGGAAAGCAAACACUUAGUUUUAACCAACAAGGUCACAGUAAACAGGCUUUGGUACAAGAUUUGGAAAGUCUUAGAUUCAAGUGCUAGCUUCACCAUAGCCAGCUGUGUGACUAGUAUCAUUUACCUACCUCUCUCUGAGCAUUAGUUUCUUUAUAACAUAGGCACGGUCUCUGCUGUGCUCUCCUUACAUGGUUGCCAUAAGGAUUAAAUUAGAUUACAAAAGUGAAAUAACAUUUUAUAUUAUUAGGUGAUAUAUAAAUGUUAUUGUAUGCGUUGAGCUGCUUUAAUAUGUAUUUAUGUGAAUGCCUUUUGUGUUUCACU